rnacentral:rRNA from 1 species
UACAGAGGUCCCAAGCGUUGUUCGGAUUUACUGGGCGUAAAGGGUGCGUAGGUGGCGAGGUAAGUUCGAUGUGAAAUCUCCGAGCUCAACUCGGAAAUGGCAUUGAAUACUAUCCCGCUUGAGGGUCGGAGGGGAGACUGGAAUUCUCGGUGUAGCAGUGAAAUGCGUAGAUAUCAGGAGGAACACCGGUGGCGAAGGCGGGUCUCUGGGCAGUAACUGACGCUGAGGAGCGAAAGCGUGGGGAGCGAACAGG